ACUCCUACGGGAGGCAGCAGUGGGGAAUAUUGGACAAUGGGGGAAACCCUGAUCCAGCCAUGCCGCGUGUGUGAAGAAGGCCUUCGGGUUGUAAAGCACUUUCAGUGGGGAGGAAAGGUUACAGGUUAAUACCCUGUAGCUGUGACGUUACCCACAGAAGAAGCACCGGCUAACUCCGUGCCAGCAGCCGCGGUAAUACGGAGGGUGCAAGCGUUAAUCGGAAUUACUGGGCGUAAAGCGUGCGCAGGCGGUCUGUUAAGCGAGAUGUGAAAGCCCCGGCUCAAGCCUGGGAACUGGCAUUUCGAACUGGCAGUACUAGAGU
rnacentral:rRNA from 1 species